rnacentral:rRNA from 1 species
CAGUAGCCGCGGUAAUACGAAGGGUGCAAGCGUUACUCGGAAUUACUGGGCGUAAAGCGUGCGUAGGUGGUUGUUUAAGUCUGCUGUGAAAGCCCUGGGCUCAACCUGGGAAUUGCAGUGGAUACUGGGCAACUAGAGUAAGGUAGAGGAUAGUGGAAUUUCCGGUGUAGCAGUGAAAUGCGUAGAGAUCGGAAGGAACAUCUGUGGCGAAGGCGACUAUCUGGGCCAUUACUGACACUGAGGCACGAAAGCGUGGGGAGCAAACAGGAUUAGAUACCCGAGUAGUCCCUGUCUCUUAUAA